AUUGAACGCUGGCGGCAGGCCUAACACAUGCAAGUCGAGCGGAUGAAGGGAGCUUGCUCCUGGAUUCAGCGGCGGACGGGUGAGUAAUGCCUAGGAAUCUGCCUGGUAGUGGGGGAUAACGUCCGGAAACGGGCGCUAAUACCGCAUACGUCCUGAGGGAGAAAGUGGGGGAUCUUCGGACCUCACGCUAUCAGAUGAGCCUAGGUCGGAUUAGCUAGUUGGUGGGGUAAAGGCCUACCAAGGCGACGAUCCGUAACUGGUCUGAGAGGAUGAUCAGUCACACUGGAACUGAGACACGGUCCAGACUCCUACGGGAGGCAGCAGUGGGGAAUAUUGGACAAUGGGCGAAAGCCUGAUCCAGCCAUGCCGCGUGUGUGCAGAAGGGCUUCGGACUGUAAAGCACUUUAAGUUGGGAGGAAGGGCAGUAAGUUAAUACCUUGCUGUUUUGACGUUACCAACAGAAUAAGCACCGGCUAACUUCGUG
rnacentral:rRNA from 1 species